rnacentral:rRNA from 1 species
GACGUAGGGGACGAGCGUUGCCCGGAAUUACUGGGCGUAAAGGGCGUGUAGGCGGCGGAAUGUGUCCUGUGUGAAAGCGAAGGGCUUAACCCUUCGUCGUCGCAGGAAACUGUUUCGCUAGAGGGCAGUAGAGGUUGGUGGAAUUCCCGGAGAAGCGGUGACAUGCGUAGAGAUCGGGAGGAACACCGGUGGCGAAGGCGGCCAACUAGGCUGACCCUGACGCUGAGGCGCGAAAGCGUGGGGAGCAAACCGA